GCCCUCUCAACAAAUUGCCUGCCAAAAAAGUACGGGUGAAAGCCUGAAACUUAAAGGACCUGGCGGUGCUUCACAUCAACCUAGAGGGGCCUGUCUAACAAUCGAUAAUCCGCGAUAAACCCGACCUCUUCUAGCCCCAGUAGCCUAUAUACCGCCGUCGAAAGCACGUUUUAUGAAAAACGAAGCUAAAAAGUACUCACACUAGCACGUCAGGUCAAGGUGUAGCAUAUAAAGAGGAUAAGAUUGGCCACAGUCACACUAAUUAGCACUGAAAAGCGUAACAAUCAGAAUUUAGCAGUAAGGGUCACAACGAACAACACCCUGAAACCCGCCUCAAGCACGC
rnacentral:rRNA from 1 species